GGAGGGGUGCAAGCGUUAAUCGGAAUUACUGGGCGUAAAGCGCACGCAGGCGGUUUGUUAAGUCAGAUGUGAAAUCCCCGGGCUCAACCUGGGAACUGCAUCUGAUACUGGCAAGCUUGAGUCUCGUAGAGGGGGGUAGAAUUCCAGGUGUAGCGGUGAAAUGCGUAGAGAUCUGGAGGAAUACCGGUGGCGAAGGCGGCCCCCUGGACGAAGACUGACGCUCAGGUGCGAAAGCGUGGGGAGCAAACAGGAUUAGAUACCCUGGUAGUCCACGCCGUAAACGAUGUCGACUUGGAGGUUGUGCCCUUGAGGCGUGGCUUCCGGAGCUAACGCGUUAAGUCGACCGCCUGGGGAGUACGGCCGCAAGGUUA
rnacentral:rRNA from 1 species